GUGGGGAAUCUUGCGCAAUGGGCGAAAGCCUGACGCAGCAACGCCGCGUGGGGGAUGAAGGCUCUCGGGUUGUAAACCCCUUUCAGCAGGGACGAACUAAGACGGUACCUGCAGAAGAAGCCCCGGCUAACUACGUGCCAGCAGCCGCGGUAACACGUAGGGGGCAAGCGUUGUCCGGAUUUAUUGGGCGUAAAGAGCUCGUAGGUGGCUGAGUAAGUCGGAUGUCAAAUCCCCAGGCUCAACCUGGGAUCCCAUCCGAUACUGCUCUGGCUAGAGUCCGGUAGGGGAGCGUGGAAUUCCUGGUGUAGCGGUGAAAUGCGCAGAUAUCAGGAGGAACACCAGCGGCGAAGGCGGCGCUCUGGGCCGGUACUGACACUGAGGAGCGAAAGCGUGGGUAGCAAACAGGAUUAGAAACCCGAGUAGUCC
rnacentral:rRNA from 1 species